CAGAGGUCCCGAGCGUUGUUCGGAUUCACUGGGCGUAAAGGGUGCGUAGGUGGCGAGGUAAGUCGGAUGUGAAAUCUCCAAGCUCAACUUGGAAAUGGCAUUGGAAACUACCUUGCUUGAGGUUUGGAGGGGGGACUGGAAUACUUGGUGUAGCAGUGAAAUGCGUAGAUAUCAAGUGGAACACCAGUGGCGAAGGCGAGUCCCUGGACAACACCUGACACUGAGGCACGAAAGCUAGGGGAGCAAACAGGAUUAGAUACCCUGGUAGUCCUAGCUGUAAACGGUGCUUGCUUGCUGUAAAAGGAAUCGACCCCUUUUGUGGCGAAGCCAACGCGUUAAGCAAGCCGCCUGGGAAGUACGGUCGCAAGAUUA
rnacentral:rRNA from 1 species